rnacentral:rRNA from 1 species
GACGAACGCUGGCGGCGUGCUUAACACAUGCAAGUCGAGCGGAGCGGCGAACGGGUGAGUACCGCGUGAGUAACUGCCCCCCUCUCUGGGAUAACAGUUGGAAACGGCUGCUCAUACCGGAUAGUGGGGGAUGACUCGCGUCCUAUCAGCUUGUUGGUGGGGUAGUGGCCUACCAAGGCGACGACGGGUAGCCGGCCUGAGAGGGCGACCGGCCACAGUGGGCUGAGAUACGGACCAAACUCCUACGGGAGGCAGCAGUGGGGAAUAUUGCACAAUGGACGAAAGUCUGACGGAGCAACGCGAGUGAGUGAUGACGGCUUUCGGGUUGUAAAGCUCUGUUAAUCGGGACGGCGAAUAGUGCGAGGAGUUGACGGUACCGGAAUAGAAAGCCACGGCUAACUACGUGCCAGCAGCCGCGGUAAUUC